GGCCCGCCAAAGACGGUAACAGCCCGGUAGUUGAAAUGGCUUUCCCUCCAGAGUGGAUCCUGAGUACGGCGGAACACGUGAAAUUCCGUCGGAAUCCGGGAGGACCAUCUCCCAAGGCUAAAUACUCCCUAGUGACCGAUAGUGAACCAGUACCGUGAGGGAAAGGUGAAAAGCACCCCGGAAGGGGAGUGAAACAGUUCCUGAAACCGUGUGCCUACAAGUAGUUAGAGCCCGUUAAUGGGUGAUAGCGUGCCUUUUGUAGAAUGAACCGGCGAGUUACGAUUUGUUGCAAGGUUAAGCGGAAAAAGCGGAGCCGUAGCGAAAGCGAGUCUGAAUAGGGCGCAUAAGUAACAGGUCGUAGACCCGAAACCAGGUGAUCUACCCAUGUCCAGGAUGAAGGUAAGGUAAUACUUACUGGAGGUCCGAACCCACGCACGUUGAAAAGUGCGGGGAUGAGGUGUGGGUAGCGGAGAAAUUCCAAUCGAACUUGGAGAUAGCUGGUUCUCUCCGAAAUAGCUUUAGGGCUAGCCUCGAGGUAAAGAGUCAUGGAGGUAGAGCACUGUUUGGACUAGGGGCCCUUCUCGGGUUACCGAAUUCAGAUAAACUCCGAAUGCCAUGUACUUAUACUCGGGAGUCAGACUGCGAGUGAUAAGAUCCGUAGUCGAAAGGGAAACAGCCCAGACCACCAGUUAAGGUCCCCAAAUAUAUGUUAAGUGGAAAAGGAUGUGGGGUUGCUUAGACAACCAGGAUGUUGGCUUAGAAGCAGCCACCAUUGAAAGAGUGCGUAAUAGCUCACUGGUCGAGUGACCCCGCGCCGAAAAUGUACCGGGGCUAAACAUAUUACCGAAACUGUGGAUGAACCUCUUUAGAGGUUCGUGGUAGGAGAGCGUUCUAAGGGCGGUGAAGUCAGACCGGAAGGACUGGUGGAGCGCUUAGAAGUGAGAAUGCCGGUAUGAGUAGCGAAAGAAGGGUGAGAAUCCCUUCCACCGAAUAUCUAAGGUUUCCUGAGGAAGGCUCGUCCGCUCAGGGUUAGUCGGGACCUAAGCCGAGGCCGAUAGGCGUAGGCGAUGGACAACAGGUAGAGAUUCCUGUACCAGUGCUAAUUGUUUAACCGAUGGGGUGACACAGAAGGAUAGGGAAUCGCACGAAUGGAAAUGUGCGUCCAAGCAGUGAGUGUGAGAAGUAGGCAAAUCCGCUUCUCGCGAAGCAUGAGCUGUGAUGGGGAAGGAAAUUAAGUACGGAAGUUCCUGAUUUCACGCUGUCAAGAAAAGCCUCUAGGAAGAGUAGUACUGCCCGUACCGCAAACCGACACAGGUAGAUGAGGAGAGAAUCCUAAGGUGAGCGAGAGAACUCUCGUUAAGGAACUCGGCAAAAUGACCCCGUAACUUCGGGAGAAGGGGUGCUCUAUUAGGGUGCAAGCCCGAGAGAGCCGCAGUGAAUAGGCCCAGGCGACUGUUUAGCAAAAACACAGGUCUCUGCAAAACCGUAAGGUGACGUAUAGGGGCUGACGCCUGCCCGGUGCUGGAAGGUUAAGAGGAGUGCUUAGCUUCGGCGAAGGUACGAAUUGAAGCCCCAGUAAACGGCGGCCGUAACUAUAACGGUCCUAAGGUAGCGAAAUUCCUUGUCGGGUAAGUUCCGACCCGCACGAAAGGCGCAACGAUCUGGGCACUGUCUCAACGAGAGACUCGGUGAAAUUAUAGUACCUGUGAAGAUGCAGGUUACCCGCGACAGGACGGAAAGACCCCGUGGAGCUUUACUGCAACCUGAUAUGGAAUGUUUGUACCGCUUGUACAGGAUAGGUAGGAGCCGAAGAGACGUGUGCGCUAGCAUACGAGGAGGCAAUGGUGGGAUACUACCCUGGCUGUAUGACCAUUCUAACCCGCCACGCUUAGCGCGUGGGGAGACAGUGUCAGGUGGGCAGUUUGACUGGGGCGGUCGCCUCCUAAAGAGUAACGGAGGCGCCCAAAGGUUCCCUCAGAAUGGAUGGAAAUCAUUCGCAGAGUGUAAAGGCACAAGGGAGCUUGACUGCGAGACUGACAAGUCGAGCAGGGACGAAAGUCGGGCUUAGUGAUCCGGUGGUUCCGCAUGGAAGGGCCAUCGCUCAACGGAUAAAAGCUACCCCGGGGAUAACAGGCUUAUCUCCCCCAAGAGUCCACAUCGACGGGGAGGUUUGGCACCUCGAUGUCGGCUCGUCGCAUCCUGGGGCUGUAGUCGGUCCCAAGGGUUGGGCUGUUCGCCCAUUAAAGCGGCACGCGAGCUGGGUUCAGAACGUCGUGAGACAGUUCGGUCCCUAUCCGUCGCGGGCGCAGGAAAUUUGAGAGGAGCUGUCCUUAGUACGAGAGGACCGGGAUGGACACACCGCUGGUGUACCAGUUGUUCCGCCAGGAGCAUCGCUGGGUAGCUAUGUGUGGCAGGGAUAAACGCUGAAAGCAUCUAAGCGUGAAGCCCCCCUCAAGAUGAGAUUUCCCAUUUCUUCGGAAAGUAAGAUCCCUGAAAGAUGAUCAGGUAGAUAGGUUUGGAGUGGAAGUGUAGCGAUACAUGGAGCGGACAAAUACUAAUCGAUCGAGGACUUAACCAA
rnacentral:rRNA from 1 species